UGGGGAAUUUUGGACAAUGGGCGAAAGCCUGAUCCAGCAAUGCCGCGUGUGUGAAGAAGGCCUUCGGGUUGUAAAGCACUUUUGUCCGGAAAGAAAUCCUUGGCUCUAAUACAGUCGGGGGAUGACGGUACCGGAAGAAUAAGCACCGGCUAACUACGUGCCAGCAGCCGCGGUAAUACGUAGGGUGCAAGCGUUAAUCGGAAUUACUGGGCGUAAAGCGUGCGCAGGCGGUUUGCUAAGGCCGAUGUGAAAUCCCCGGGCUCAACCUGGGAACUGCAUUGGUGACUGGCAGGCUAGAGUAUGGCAGAGGGGGGUAGAAUUCCACGUGUAGCAGUGAAAUGCGUAGAGAUGUGGAGGAAUACCGAUGGCGAAGGCAGCCCCCUGGGCCAAUACUGACGCUCAUGCACGAAAGCGUGGGGAGCAAACAGGAUUAGAUACCCUGGUAGUCCACGCCCUAAACGAUGUCAACUAGUUGUUGGGGAUUCAUUUCCUUAGUAACGUAGCUAACGCGUGAAGUUGACCGCCUGGGGAGUACGGUCGCAAGAUU
rnacentral:rRNA from 1 species